rnacentral:rRNA from 1 species
AAAGCUCUUUUGUCAGGGAAGAAACGGGUGGGGCUAAUAUCCCUAUCUAAUGACGGUACCUGAAGAAUAAGCACCGGCUAACUACGUGCCAGCAGCCGCGGUAAUACGUAGGGUGCAAGCGUUAAUCGGAAUUACUGGGCGUAAAGCGUGCGCAGGCGGUUUUGUAAGUCUGUCGUGAAAUCCCCGGGCUCAACCUGGGAAUGGCGAUGGAGACUGCAAGGCUAGAGUUUGGCAGAGGGGGGUAGAAUUCCACGUGUAGCAGUGAAAUGCGUAGAGAUGUGGAGGAACACCGAUGGCGAAGGCAGCCCCCUGGGUCAAAACUGACGCUCAUGCACGAAAGCGUGGGGAGCAAACAGGAUUAGAUACCCUGGUAGUCCACGCCCUAAACGAUGUCUACUAGUUGUCGGGUCUU